rnacentral:sRNA from 1 species
UUAAGUACUCCUUCAUUCACAUCAUGCCUCUAUGGAUUUUUAAAGCACAGGAUAAAACUAAAGCAAUCCAUAGGAGCCAACAGAAGCAAUUGCAUUCUUCUGUCUCUGACUACAUUCAACAAAAGAAAAAUUAAGUGUUUGCUGAACAUCUGCCAUAUUGUUUUGCAAGGAUCUUUCUCCACAGAAACCAUUUUCUUAUGUUUAUUAUUAGCAAGUGAAUGGUCUUCUUUCCCUUGCUCCUUUUAUGUUUUAGAUACCCUGUUAAUGUAAUUUAUUCCAUUUGUUUGUGAGGCUAAUCAAGGACAUGCCAUUUUUAGCUUAUUGUGCCUGCAUGACAAGCAGCAAGAAAAAAAAUCACUCAUUUGUCGCUGUCUCUCUCUAUUCAGCUAUCUCUCCUUUCUUUGGAAGAUAAAGUACAUAUUUAUACAAUAAAAUAAACAUAUUAUCCAAUUUUCUCUAAAACUAUAACAUUUUAUAUGAAAAGGGGUACAAAAUUACAAUCUGUACAUGGUAAGAAAUUCACAUACAUGUUACAUGGAAAAGUAUGAAAGAAUCCAGCAGUGUGCUGUGAAUGUGGCACUUACUGAUCCAGCUUGCAUUACUGUAUAUUUAUGCAGUAUGUCUGGCACACUGCUGAAGAAUGCUGACUCAACAGUACUUAUAGCGAAUGUGGUUUCCGUCCCUCAGUAGGACUUGUAAUUCUGACUCUUAACAAAGAAAUAUACUGCAGUGUUAACCUUCUGACAUGGAGGAACACAAAAACACCAGAGAGGGAGAUUGGGGACAGCAGCAAAGGCCUUUUGGAGAAAGCCACUUUGACAUUGCAAUCUGAAGCAUGAGUCAGGUUGUCACAGACAAGCAGAAGAAAAGUCCUUUGCAAAGAACCAGAAGCAGGAAUAAUAAACGCAUUAGAGAAGUCACCUAGAAUAUGGUAGUAUUCUAAGGAAAAGGUAAGGAAAGUCCUAAAACCAUAGAAAAGCAGGACAGAGCCAGACCUAAACGACAGCCAGAUCUAAGUCACAGAGAGCAGCUUUCACAGGAAGACUGCACUCAUUUGUGAGACAUCAAAUAUGGGCUUUGGAAAUCUCUCACUGUGCUGUCAGCAAGGCACAGAGUAGCAAGAUCCAAACCCAAACCUGGGUCUUAAAAUAGUUGACAUAAUCUUGGAGAGGCCCUGUGACAUUCUGAUCUGAAGGAAGGAAGUAGGCAGAAAGAGCUGUAAAGAAUUGUAGAAGUCUGGACCCUAGCCAGAAAGAACCCCAGCAGUACGUUAGGAUUCUCAUUCCAAACACAUAGCUUCUCAACAGAACUGUGGGGCAUCUGCUAUAAAAGUAUGCAAAACAUCAUCUGUACGCUAGCUCACGAAGAAGUUAAUUAAAUUAAUUAAGGUCAUACAGUUAAUUACUGGCAUGUCAGCAUCCUAAAAUAGGUCUUCCAGCCCAGUAACUACAGCUCAGUCUGUUAUGAGUACGAAUGUAGCAGUUCUCUUAAUGAAAUAAAUCCAGGAAUGUUCAUCUAAACUGCACUCACUAAAGGAAGGUUAUGGACCAGCAUAUGGAAAUCAGGCUCCAUCCUGACUUUAAGGCUCACAUUGCAAAAAUAUCAGUUGUUUGAGUAUCUCUUACCUUAAAUAGUCCAGGUCUCUUAGACCCAUUCUAUACAUUAAGUUGCAUUUCUCACCAAGGAAAUCUUCCUUACUGUCUGUCAGAGGCUGUCCUUGACAUGCCAGUCAACUGUCCAUGGCAUUAUCAGAGAGACCUAUCUUAUUCAUUAACAUGCAACCAUGAGUGGAAGGUUACUGAAAUAAUGGCGAGGAAUACAAAAAUCAUGAAUAAAAUAUGAGAAUCAGUGUUGAAAUUUGCAGCCUAAAUGUGCACACAAAGGUGGCAUCUCGCCUUGGGUAACUCCGAAGGAUGAUGACUCUGAUUUAUAAAAAGGAGCUCAGAGGGGAUCAGCACCUUGGCUUGAGUUCUGUCAGCAGGAUUAUCAGAUGGAUUCAAAUAAAAUGGGUUAAUUUUUUUCAGAGUUCAGCUGUGAAAAUGGAGAUUUCUUUGUAGCAAAAGUAAGAGAAUUGGAGAUAAAAUAGACCUUUGCUAAAGAAAAGAAGGUUUGAUACAUGAAGGAGAAUGCUUGUAGUAAAAUAUUUUUUCUUAGAAUCAAGGUAUAUUUUUAGUUUGCUUAGAAAGAGUGAGGCAUAGAAAAUGCCAGGUUGAACUCAUAUGUGGUAAACAGAAAAAAAAGUGGAUUAUUACAAUGUAAAAAGAGUAGAGGUGGGCAGACGAGUUAGGGUUUACUAUACAAAAAAUAUGUUGAGAGUCCUGGAUUGAAUUAUCUAGGUAUGCCUUGAUGAAGCCAUAAAUAUCUUUGAGCCCUUCUGCUGAGUCUCCACAAAUUUGCACAUAAUUUAAACACCGCAGACAGACUAGCAAUUUGAAAGGGAACCAAGUCCCACUGAAAAGGCUCAGCGUAAGCAGAAGUUUAACUGACCAUUUCCCCUGCCCUGAUGCUUCACCUGCACCCCAUGUUAGGAUGUGCUUUAAAUUGACGUGAUCUUUGGGGCACUUAGGAAUCCAGGGUGCUGUAUUUAAAAAUAAGUCACUUUUUAAAUUUAUACUCUUACUUAAUUAAGAUGUGUGAUUAUUCAUAUUUCAGUCUCCAUUGGGUAUGUUUGUAUAGAAUGAUCAUAUGUAUAAGGUGACAGUGGUGGCUGGGGGACUUUUUGUAUUCUUUUUCAGGCACUGGCAUGGCAAUUAAAAGGUCCCAGCUGUAAUGAUGCCAGAGAGGGUGUGGUCUCCCACAGAGGAAAGCUUACACGGCUCAUUUAACAUCGUUGCAUCCUUACAGCAGCCCUAACUGUAGACUUGGUCAAUUACCUUUUCGUCAACAAACCAGAGCUCUUGGUUUGACAUUUACUCACACAGUAGUUAUUUAUUCAGUGUCACACGGUGAGCACCUGAUGGCCCUCAACUUGUGGCCUGGCUAGCUUUGGCAGUUUUAGUCAGAGGAGCUAUUGGAGGACCUCCAGAUCUCUCUCAAUUCAGCAAAUUUCCUCAACUCUUUGAAACCCAGUUUAUGAGUCUAUAAAUCGAGCUCCUAACCUUCAGCCCCCUGCCUGCUGAGAUAAGGACUCAAGUUUCAGCAAAGGCUUGGGAGCUCGGCAAGAUCCUGGUUGAAGUUACAAACAGCUCUGAUUGGAAGGAAGCUCACAAUAAAAUGGUUACAUGCACCAUUCCAAACAGGAACCAUCACAUGGCUCUCCCACAUGGGAGGCCACUGGGCACCAGGAAGAGGACAGAUAAAGGAUCCUUCCAGGUUACUCAGCAGCAGAUGAUCAGCAGGCCUGCAGCUGUCCUAUAGUCUCCUAAGAAGUGGUACCACUUCUUUCCAUCUGUAGAGAUGGCCUUCCAGACAUUCCCUUCAAAAACUUAACAGGCAAAGCAAAACCAAAAUCCACACAUGCCUCUUUGUGUUACUUUUGAAGUUCCAAAGCUGUGUUUCAAGAAAAGCUCCUGAAGUGACAGAGAGGUGACUCACUCCUCACACUGGCAUUUCAUGUGCUGGGCACUUCACCCCUGAACAUUAAAUCUGCUGUGUGUGAGUCAGAGCAAACCACCUUCCCCACUUUAGAGUCUCCAAGGAUUUACUGUGAAACCCCACAAAACUCUUUGGUUUCCUUUCUGAUAAACACACCACAUAUCCUGGGCCUGUUUGUGAUAUCUGGACUACCUUAACAGACUUUUCUGUGAAAUCAGAAGAUGCCCUUGUUUGUCCAAAAAAUCAUAGAAAUGAGCUACAGAAAUGUCUCAGUGAGCUGUCGAGUUCUAUGGCAAGAAAGAUGCUUGCAGUUUUCAUGAAGGCAUACAUGGGAGUCCACUGUCCACCUUGAAGAUGAUAAAACCUAAGAGAUGAGACAGCUGUAGGACCAAGGCUUCAGAUGGCAGACGUGGAAGGAAGACCACAGCUCAAGCAGCAUGGAUCAGGAAGAGUAGUAAAAGCCCUUGCCACAGCACAGUUCAGCACUCCGCCCAAGCUUCUUCCUUCUCAUAAGAUAUUUUUCGAAUUGUAAAAUUAUUUUAGCAGACACAGAGCAUGGUACAUUAAUAAAUGAUCAAGUGGUGUGUGCUUUUAAAUGCCCGAUUUGGUCUCCAUAAAGAAACUGGCAAAUAUUCCAUUAACCACAAGCCAUGUCGUCAUUAUUUAAACUUGAAACACAUUUUUCCCAUCUCCUGCUGGAGAGGCUCAUGGAGACUGCUGAGUCUGCGCUUGAAAACUGACUUUUAAACAAAAAGAUCGAGCGGGAUUAUUUAUGAAUGUGUGUAAAUUAUGUAAUGGUUUCAUUGAGAUCUCAGGGACUUCUAAGAAGCAGAAAGUCCCCUGCCGUGUACACAUCUCAUUUAAUACCCCUGUUUCAUCUUUUCCUCCGCUUCAGAGAUUUUCAGCAGUUCCAGAUUCACUUUGAAACAAUAGCUCAUUUUGAAAUGUAAUUUAGAUAUAUUUAUUAUGUGUUCUGGGUUAGAAUAAAAUAUUGCUUUGCUGGGAAAAAAGAAAAGAAAAAAACUCAAGCAUUACAUACAAUCACAAAGGAAAUUGUUCCUGAAAGCCAUUAUUCAUUCAUGAUAAUGGGCAGGUGGUGGAGUUACACCACCAAACAAAAUCACGCUCAGUAAGGACAAGUAGAAAAAUCAGAAAAUAAUCAAUGAUGUGAGAAACGGCAUGUGCUUAGACACAUGCUCUCCCCUGACUUCACCAAGAGAGGUAGAGGCAAGGAUUGCUGUUCCCAUGGUUGUGUAACGUAAAGCACUCCAGAACCAUAAGAGGAGAAAAGGCUCUGACUACAGACAGCUGCCAGAGAAAACAAAUGUGUGAGAAAGGAAAGAGGACAAGAGAGGGAGGUGAAAGAGAAAUCAUAAGAAAAAGAAUUGGUGAUGCAAAGUCCUAGAGGGGUUUUAGGGACCGUUAUGCAUUGUGUAUUCACAGUGAAGAAAGGACAGAUGUUUUUAAAAGGUGGCAAAGGAAUAAGAGACAAAUGAGGUCUCCGUGGAAAACAUAGCACCUUUGCCUGUGCUCUUUAUGGCGUGUCCCUAUCCCACCUAAAUGGGGAACUAGGCAAAACAAGCAGGUAAUGUUGUUCCUGUUAUAAAUAUUUAAUGUUUUUAGAUGCCACAUGGACUCUGAUGUAUGCUCUAACCCACAGGUUUAAAGACUACUUUUAAAAUUCAAAGAGAUCGUAUGUGAAAAUACUUCAAAGCCUAUAACAUAUUAACUAAAGUUUUUAAAUUAUUCCUCUACCACGGAAUGUUAUUCUAAUUGCUAAUGAUAUAAGGAAAGAAUCAAGAAGUCAUUAAAUCAAUUCUUCUGUGAACCUUGCUGAUCCUAAAAAUAUGGAUGCUUUCUGGGGCCAAAACAAUAAUUAAAAAGAUAAAUAUGUAUUUCUAAGUCAAGUCAAACAAUUGGAAAAUGAGGACUCAUUAAGAAUACUUUAAUCAUCUCAUUAUUUCUACAGCAAGGUUGUAUAUAAAUAAGUUUAAUUGUUUUCAGGCUAGGUCCAAGCAAAACAUUUGAAACGACAAGUUUGUUUUUGUUUAUUUCCCUAGGUAAAAGCUGCGCUUGACAGAAACUGACUGACUUCCAUGGGGAUAAAUCCUUCAGUGACAAAAUAGGUUAUGGAAAGGCAUAUGGGUGUAGUGACAUUUUGGUUUAAUUAUCUAGCCCACUGUACAAACACAUGUUGAUAAUAAGAAAACAAGUCUAAUUUCAAGUUGCUGUAAGCAGAAAUGAAAACUCCCAUCCAGUGAAGACAUUUCCACCAUAGAAUUUUCAAAGUGGCCUUUUCAGAUUUCAUGAUUCACCUGGUUAAUAGAGAUUCACUUAAAACUACUCUCUUGCUAACACACAGCCCAGCACACCAGUGAGGAUAGAUAGAUAGGUAGGUAGAUA